UACGGGGGGGGCAAGCGUUGUUCGGAAUUACUGGGCGUAAAGGGCUCGUAGGCGGCCAACUAAGUCAAACGUGAAAUCCCUCGGCUUAACCGGGGAACUGCGCUUGAUACUGGAUGGCUUGAGAUUGGGAGAGGGAUGCGGAAUUCCAGGUGUAGCGGUGAAAUGCGCAGAUAUCAGGAGGAACACCAAUAGCGAAGGCAGCUCGCUGGGACGUUACUGACACUGAGGCGCGAAAGCGUGGGGAGCGAACAGG
rnacentral:rRNA from 1 species